UGCCUAACACAUGCAAGUCGAACGGUAGAGUGCCUAGCUUGCUAGGUGCUUGAGAGUGGCGGACGGGUGAGUAACGCGUAGGAAUCUGCCCUAUAGUGGGGGAUAACACUGGGAAACUAGUGCUAAUACCGCAUAAUUCCCGAGGGGGAAAGGCUAGAAAUAGCCGCUAUUGGAUGAGCCUGCGUCAGAUUAGCUAGUUGGUGGGGUAAAGGCCUACCAAGGCGAAGAUCUGUAGCUGGUCUGAGAGGACGACCAGCCACACUGGGACUGAGACACGGCCCAGACUCCUACGGGAGGCAGCAGUGGGGAAUAUUGGACAAUGGGCGCAAGCAUGAUCCAGCAAUGCCGCGUGUGUGAAGAAGGCCUGCGGGUUUAAAGCAC
rnacentral:rRNA from 1 species